UGAAAUGAGCAUUAACCUUAUGCUCUUCACGUCCCCACGAACUUCUUCUUUCCCUAUAAAACAACAACAUUGGUAAAGCCAAAGCCAAAGGUGACAUAAUUGGUUUUGAGAGGGUCAAAUUUAGUAAACAUGGCUUCUGGCUACAAUCAAUACACAGCGAUGGCUGUUUUCGCCACAAUGACGCUCUCCUCUGUCUUUACCGCCUCCGCACAGUACGAUUCAGAGUCACAGACAGGAGCCUCUUGUUUCCCAGGAAUGUCUAUUAUCAUGAUCAUCUCUUCUCUCAUCCUUUCUGGAUUUGCCAUUCUCAGAUGGUAGAAGAUCAUUCUUAAUGUUCUUCUGUAUUUUUAUUUUUUUUCUGUUGCUGUAUCAAAUCUCAAUAAAGGAAAACAUCACUCUCUUCG